rnacentral:rRNA from 1 species
GACGAACGCUGGCGGCGUGCUUAACACAUGCAAGUCGAACGGAAAGGCCCUGCUUUUGUGGGGUGCUCGAGUGGCGAACGGGGGAGUAACACGUGAGUAACCUGCCCUUGACUUUGGGAUAACUUCAGGAAACUGGGGCGAAUACCGGAGAGGAGCUCCUGCUGCAUGGGGGGGGUUGGAAAGUUUCGGCGGUUGGGGAUGGACUCGCGGCUUAUCAGCUUGUUGGUGGGGUAGUGGCUUACCAAGGCUUUGACGGGUAGCCGGCCUGGGAGGGUGACCGGCCACCUUGGGCCUGCGGUACGGCCCAGACUCCUACGGGACGCAGCAGUGGGGAAUCUUGCACAGUGGGCGGAAGCCUGAUGCAGCAACGCCGCGUGCGGGAUGCCGGCCUUCGGGUUGUAAACCGCUUUCGCCUGUGCCGAAGCGUGAGUGACGGUAAUGGGUAAAGAAGCACCGGCUAACUACGUG